AUUGAACGCUGGCGGCAUGCUUUACACAUGCAAGUCGGACGAGUGGCGAACGGGUGAGUAACAUAUCGGAACGUACCGAGUAAUGGGGGAUAACUACUCGAAAGAUUAGCUAAUACCGCAUAUUAUUCGAGCGGCCGAUAUCGGAUUAGCUGGUUGGUGGGGUAAAGGCCUACCAAGGCGACGAUCCGUAGCGGGUCUGAGAGGAUGAUCCGCCACACUGGGACGGAGACACGGCCCAGACUCCUACGGGAGGCAGCAGUGGGGAAUUUUGGACAAUGGGCGCAAGCCUGAUCCAGCCAUGCCGCGUGUCUGAAGAAGGCCUUCGGGUUGUAAAGUACUUUUGGCAGAGAAGCGGUAUCUGCAGAAGAAGCACCGGCUAACUACGUGCCAGCAGCCGCGGUAAUAC
rnacentral:rRNA from 1 species